UAAUAUUCACAUGGAAAACCAAAUAAUCGUCUCAUGUUUACCACCACAAGCAUGUUCGAAUUUCUGCCAAAUAACACCUUCCUUUGGGCCGGUGUUAACCGCAUGGAAGACUAACAUCCACAGUCACCUUAUAUUUUAAAAUUAAUCAAUCUACACAAUAGAGGUUACUUUGGCAACAUAAUGCUUCAAUUGAAUAAUUAAAAUAUUAGAUGCUAU
rnacentral:lncRNA from 1 species